rnacentral:rRNA from 1 species
CCUACGGGAGGCAGCAGUGGGGAAUAUUGCACAAUGGGGGAAACCCUGAUGCAGCGACGCCGCGUGAGUGAAGAAGUAUUUCGGUAUGUAAAGCUCUAUCAGCAGGGAAGAAAAUGACGGUAAGUGAUUAAUAAGCCCCGGCCAAAUACGUGUCAGCAGCCGCGGUAAUACGUAGGGUGCAAGCGUUAUCCGGAUUUUCUGGGUGGAAAGGGAGCGUAGAGGGUGUUGCAAGUCAGAAGGGAAAGCCCGGGGUUCAACCCCUGGACUGCUUUUGAUACUGUGAGACUGGAGUGCAGGAGAGGUAAGCGGAAUUCCUGGUGAAGCGGUGAAAUGCGUAGAUAUCAGGAAGAACACCAGUGGCGAAGGCAGCUUACUGGACUGUAACUGACGUUGAGGCUCGAAAGCGUGGGGAGCAAACAGGAUUAGAUACCCUAGUAGUC